UUGCAUAGAAACAGCACUGGCAUAUUCAAAUACAUGCAAAGCAUUUCUUAAAUACAUAUCUAAACAUGCAAAAUUAAUACUAGUAUGUCUGUACUCGACCUCGAAGAGGACACUCAUCAUAAUACAUAUAUGCACAAUUACAACUGAAAUAAGAAGAUGUACGUGGUAUUAGUGCUAAUGAGAGACAACUCUCCACCCAUGUCACAGAGUGUAAAAAGUAAACAAUUAUAGGUCAAAUUACCGCCCUUUAACACGAAGCCUUUGCUCACGCCGAACAGCAAGCUAUAAAGGGACACAAAACGACUAAUGAAAAAACAAAUCAAACUGGAAAAUCAAUGGUUUUAUCUACUUUAAAAAAGAGAAACAAUAAACCACUUUUGAACCACAUUCUGUGUCAUUUGGUCUCUUGUGAAGAGUUGUCUCAUUGACAAUCACAAC
rnacentral:lncRNA from 1 species